CUCAGUGUGUAAUUUCAAAUUCUCAGUGUGUGUUUUCAGUUUAUUUAUUCUCAGUGUGUCUUUUUUAAAUCUCAGUGUGUAAUUUUUAAUUCUCAGUGUGUAAUUUUCAAUUCUCAGUGUGUAAUUUUCAAUUCUCAGUGUGCGUUUUUCAUUUUUGUAAUCUCAGUGCGUCUUUAUGAAAUCUCAGUGUGUAAUUUUUAAUUCUCAGUGUGUAAUUUUCAAUUCUCAGUGUGCGUUUUGAAGUUUUUAAAUCUCAGUGUGCUUUGUUGUAAUUCUCAGUGUGUAAAUUUUUCGAAAAAAUGGUUUAAACAUAGUUUUGACGAGAACGGCUUGCCAUA
rnacentral:lncRNA from 1 species